rnacentral:lncRNA from 1 species
GGGCCUAUGCAUCCUCUAAAUCCUAUUUAUAAGUGUUCGAUCUUAAACUGGCCUAAGCAUAAACUUUAACAUAUAAACAAACGGCAAAAUAUUGUAAGUAAUAAAACCAUGAUUUAGGGUUCAGGAUUAUUAAAAUCCCUAAGCACAUGCAUUGUCCAAAAGCUUAUUCAACUGCAUAUAAAUUAUCCCUGACCUACUUUUAGUGGUUCUCCUUAAACUGGACUUAUCACAAAUAUUUCAGUGUAAACAAAGGAAAUUUUCAAAGUCAAUAUGCCAUUACUGAGAGGCUUGUGAGGAGUGGAUGCUCUAUGCGAUUCAGAGAUAUAUAUAUGUGUCCAUAACACAUUAUACUCUGCUUCCACAAUCAGAUUUCCAUGUUUAGUAACUUAUUUGUAAUUGUU